rnacentral:rRNA from 1 species
UGAGGAAUAUUGGUCAAUGGGCGCAAGCCUGAACCAGCCAUCCCGCGUGCAGGAAGACGGCGCUAUGCGUUGUAAACUGCUUUUCCAGGGGGAGAAACUUGCGCACGUGUUGCGCAAUUGACGGUACCCUGGGAAUAAGCAUCGGCUAACUCCGUGCCAGCAGCCGCGGUAAUACGGAGGAUUCGAGCGCUAUCCGGCUUCAUCGGGUUUAAAGGGUGCGUAGGCGGACUAUUAAGUCAGUGGUGAAAUCCUGCAGCUUAACUGCAGAACUGCCAUUGAUACUGAUAGCCUUGAGUUUGGUUAAGGUAGGCGGAAUGUGUAAUGUAGCGGUGAAAUGCUUAGAUAUUACACAGAACACCAAUUGCGUAGGCAGCUUACUGAGCCGACACUGACGCUGAGGCACGAAAGCGUGGGGAUCGAACAGG